UUUACAUACAUUCGUACCUAGGCUUACAUUGGUUUUCCUUUUCCUAUCAGACCCGGGUUACAACUACAUACAUACAGAAUAAAGGGAAAAUUACCUAAAUGGUCUAAUUUUAAGUUGCAGGCUUGGUAAACAUAUGUGAAGACUCAUAACUCAUGGCAUUUAACUGAUUUUUUUUAUGAGAAUGAGAAAAGGAAGGGUGCUAAUUCCCUCUCUAGAGUAUGUUCCACUAGCUACAAGUACAAAAAGUACAAUAAAGAAACGACUCAUUGGCAAAAUCCAGUGUAAUCGUGGGUGAAAAAGCAUCAAUGUUUGGUAAGAAGAGAGCAAAUCAUGAUGAUGAGGAUCUGAAUGUGGAUGUUGCUAGGGUGUUUAAUUUUGGAUUUCACCAUUAACACUUGGCAUAAUUUGAUUAAGGGAUUAUGUUUCUUACUAAAAAGUUAGUGGAUAAGAAUUUA